GCCAGUGUAGUGUAGUGGUUUGAGCAUCAGACUGUGGCUCUGGAGACCAGGGUUUGAAUCCCUGAUCAUCCA